AGAGUUUGAUCCUGGCUCAGAUUGAACGCUGGCGGCAGGCCUAACACAUGCAAGUCGAACGGUAACAGGAAGCAGCUUGCUGCUUUGCUGACGAGUGGCGGACGGGUGAGUAAUGUCUGGGAAACUGCCUGAUGGAGGGGGAUAACUACUGGAAACGGUGGCUAAUACCGCAUAACGUCGCAAGACCAAAGAGGGGGACCUUCGGGCCUCUUGCCAUCAGAUGUGCCCAGAUGGGAUUAGCUAGUUGGUGAGGUAACGGCUCACCAAGGCGACGAUCCCUAGCUGGUCUGAGAGGAUGACCAGCCACACUGGAACUGAGACACGGUCCAGACUCCUACGGGAGGCAGCAGUGGGGAAUAUUGCACAAUGGGCGCAAGCCUGAUGCAGCCAUGCCGCGUGUAUGAAGAAGGCCUUCGGGUUGUAAAGUACUUUCAGCGGGGAGGAAGGUGUUGUGGUUAAUAACCGCAGCAAUUGACGUUACCCGCAGAAGAAGCACCGGCUAACUCCGUGCCAGCAGCCGCGGUAAUACGGAGGGUGCAAGCGUUAAUCGGAAUUACUGGGCGUAAAGCGCACGCAGGCGGUCUGUCAAGUCGGAUGUGAAAUCCCCGGGCUCAACCUGGGAACUGCAUUCGAAACUGGCAGGCUUGAGUCUUGUAGAGGGGGGUAGAAUUCCAGGUGUAGCGGUGAAAUGCGUAGAGAUCUGGAGGAAUACCGGUGGCGAAGGCGGCCCCCUGGACAAAGACUGACGCUCAGGUGCGAAAGCGUGGGGAGCAAACAGGAUUAGAUACCCUGGUAGUCCACGCCGUAAACGAUGUCUACUUGGAGGUUGUGCCCUUGAGGCGUGGCUUCCGGAGCUAACGCGUUAAGUAGACCGCCUGGGGAGUACGGCCGCAAGGUUAAAACUCAAAUGAAUUGACGGGGGCCCGCACAAGCGGUGGAGCAUGUGGUUUAAUUCGAUGCAACGCGAAGAACCUUACCUGGUCUUGACAUCCACGGAAGUUUUCAGAGAUGAGAAUGUGCCUUCGGGAACCGUGAGACAGGUGCUGCAUGGCUGUCGUCAGCUCGUGUUGUGAAAUGUUGGGUUAAGUCCCGCAACGAGCGCAACCCUUAUCCUUUGUUGCCAGCGGUCCGGCCGGGAACUCAAAGGAGACUGCCAGUGAUAAACUGGAGGAAGGUGGGGAUGACGUCAAGUCAUCAUGGCCCUUACGACCAGGGCUACACACGUGCUACAAUGGCGCAUACAAAGAGAAGCGACCUCGCGAGAGCAAGCGGACCUCAUAAAGUGCGUCGUAGUCCGGAUUGGAGUCUGCAACUCGACUCCAUGAAGUCGGAAUCGCUAGUAAUCGUGGAUCAGAAUGCCACGGUGAAUACGUUCCCGGGCCUUGUACACACCGCCCGUCACACCAUGGGAGUGGGUUGCAAAAGAAGUAGGUAGCUUAACCUUCGGGAGGGCGCUUACCACUUUGUGAUUCAUGACUGGGGUGAAGUCGUAACAAGGUAACC
rnacentral:rRNA from 1 species